rnacentral:rRNA from 1 species
UACAGAGGUCCCAAGCGUUGUUCGGAUUCACUGGGCGUAAAGGGUGCGUAGGUGGUUGGGAAAGUUUGAUGUGAAAGCUCGGAGCUUAACUCCGAAAUGGCAUUGAAUACUUCUUAACUUGAGGGUCGGAGGGGAGACUGGAAUUUACGGUGUAGCGGUGAAAUGCGUAGAUAUCGUAAGGAAGACCAGUGGCGAAGGCGGGUCUCUGGACAGUUCCUGACGCUGAGGCACGAAGGUCAGGGGAGCAAACGGG